GGGCCAGCUUUAGCUCAGCGGUUACUUCGACAGUGGCUCAGUUCAUUACCAGCUACCCGUAGCAGGUUCGAACAACACAACCAACCACUUACCUAACUCGUGAGUGUUUGGUUCGAGACCCGCGGGCGCUCCCUGGCCCUUUU
rnacentral:vault_RNA from 1 species